UACAGAGGUCCCAAGCGUUGUUCGGAUUCACUGGGCGUAAAGGGUGCGUAGGUGGUCGGGUAAGUCUGAUGUGAAAUCUCCGAGCUUAACUUGGAAAUGGCAUUGGAUACUAUUCGGCUAGAGGGUUUGAGGGGGGACUGGAAUACUUGGUGUAGCAGUGAAAUGCGUAGAUAUCAAGUGGAACACCAGUGGCGAAGGCGAGUCCCUGGAAAACUCCUGACACUGAGGCACGAAAGCUAGGGGAGCAAACAGG
rnacentral:rRNA from 1 species